CACUGAGACCCAGGGAAGGAAGUCCCAUGCCCGGUGAUGACCUUGACUCCCCAGCAGUGCUGUAGAUGCAGGAGCUUUCAAGGUCCCGGCCAGUUUCCUCCUUGGCAUUUAACCAGUGCUCAGGAAGGACUGGAAAUCAGGUCCCCAGGAUGCGCGGGGGACCUGCUGGCCUGAUGAGAAACCUGCCGAAGCAGCACCAAGGCCAUGGCUCCCUCCAGCAGCCCGGCUACAGACUGGAGGAAACAUCUUCUCCUUCCGGAAUCCUGGUGGGGAGCAGGCCAGUCCCUGUGUCAGCCAUGCUGCUGUCCAGAUUGCAUAUUUCUCCAGCAAACCCUGCUUCAGACUAGGGCUGAAAAUCUCCCAGGUGUCUCCAAGACCGCGUGCGUCUAGGCUCAAGUGGGCGCGUGGCUCUGCGAAGGUCACUGUGUGUGAGGGAAUCAUCAGGUGAUCAAAGUCUCAUUACCAGUGUCAGCAUUCAUGUCUGACGCUGCUC